ACUGCUGUUCACUUGCUGAAACGACGACAAAAAAUGUGGACGGUGCUACAAUUGCUGCUCCUGUUAAUCUCAUAUAGAGGAUGUGUGGGUGGUCCCAAUUUCACGACAGAAACCAGAGUAAUUGGACAAAAUGUCACUCUGGGAUGUUCCCGUGACAAUAAUUUGAGUUAUGAUCUUCUUUGGAUCCGACUUGUUAGUGGAACCUUUCCUGAAUUUUUAUUUGGAGUGUCAUCUCUUGAUUCAACACUUUUGGAACAUGGGAGCUUAAACUCCGGAGAUCGCAUUACUGCCAAACAAGAACCAGGAAUGUUUGUUCUGCAAAUUACUCAUGUGCAGAAAAGUGACAUGGCUGUUUAUUACUGUGUUAAAGUGCAUAACUCUUUUUUGACAUUUUUGAAUGGAACAUUUCUUCAAGUCACAGAUAAUGACAUGAGUUCGACUACCGCCACGCAAGACUUGCAGUCUGAAGCAGGACAACCUGUGACUUUACAUUACUUGAUCCUCUAUCCCUCUAGGAAUAAAAAAUGCACGGAUGGACACAAUGUUUACUGGUUCCAUGAUGGAACAAUCAAUUCACAUCUCAAAAAAUGCGGGGAGGUCAAAGGUGACUCGAUGCAGAAAUGCAUUCACACUUUCUUGAAAAAAGUCAGUUCCUCUGAUGCCGGAAUUUACUCUUGUGCACUGGCCACAUGUGGGGAGAUUUUUAUGGGAAAUUCAACAAAAAUCCCCACUCAAGGUGAAGUUGCCAUUGGGUGUGACAAUUCUCUUAUCUCAGUCUUGGGUGCUGCUUUGGCUUUAUGUGUCAUCUCUUUAGCCUUCCUCAUCAAAAAGAGCAUAACAAAUAGAUGGUUUUAUUGUAAAGGUAAGAAACCUUUAAUAUUCAUUACUUGUCCCUUAUUUCCAUGGUGCUUAAACUUUUGUGUCCAAUUAAACCACUUUCGUGUACUGAUAUAUGGCAGAAAACAGACAAGACUGAAAAAGCAGUUUCUGCUCUUGCACUCCUCUUUAAAAGAAACUGCUGUAUUUCAAGCCAAAACAACUGCUGUGUUUGAUAGAACAAUAUGUCUAUAUGCUGUCAUACCAGAUUCAUGGCGCAUUAAGCCCUCGAACUAUUUUUAAUUUGUCCGUUUUACCCUGGAAACCCCCGUUUACAGACGUCGCGCAACCGCUUUUGUUUCAACCCAGCCAUAAAACGAAGGUAGUUAGUUAUAUUUAUUAUUCAAAAUGUCUGUCAUUUUUAGCUUAGAAUCAUUACUUGAUGUCUAAUAUUUCAUUAAAAAAAAAACAACUUUAAGAAAUUAUUCACUCGCAUAUUUUAAACUUUUUAACAAAUGACGUCACAAUGAAAAAAAAUGAUGUGUGUAAAAGAAGUCACGGAUAUCUACCUCAUAACUAUCGCUUAAUUGUAUUUUUUUGUUACUGUCGCAUUUCCUCCGAUAUGUUAGAUGAUAAUCGAUCCAAACAAAGAAAAACUGAGGAAAAAAAAAAACAUUUAAAAGGGUAAAUAUAUGAAAAAGAAAAUCUCAACCACUCCUUGAUGUCUGCGAUUUCUGCAACGCGACCCUUAUUAUAUUAUUAUGUCUCACCCAUAAAAUCCCCCAAAAAUCCAGCUGUGGCCAUUCAUAGCUGUGUUUUGACACUCGGUGAUACAUGCUACAUGGAGUUUUUGGAUCAGAAAAAGGUAAGUACGCGAUAUCUCGUUAAAGUCAUGGCGUCUGUAAUUCUGCUCUCGCGUGCUCCCACCUCUAGUUAGGGUUUUGCUGUUUAAUUUUUUUUUUUUUUUUUUUUUUAAAUGCCCUCCUGUUCAAAAAUUUUCCUCCCCCAGAAAAUUGAGAUUAUAAGCUUUCCAAUGAUAUAUCACACAUGCAUAUCGGAGAAUUUUGAAAGUUGGCCAAAUUGGGAGUCUCAGAGCAGAACUUUAUGUCACCUGAGUGUUUUCCGCCAUAUAUAUAAAAAUCACAGUUUGUUAGUCCAGCGUCACUUUUAUUCUUUGUGUAAUAGCAUACAUUUUCUUCUCGUGAUGUUCAGCUUGUCAGAAAACCCGUGAAGAAACGUCCAAUCAUGUGCAGCAGAGAGAUGAGGAGUCUUUGGUUUAUUCAGCACCGACUUUCGUCGCCAGGAAAAGUGACAAUGCAAGGAAGACUCAGACCCGCAAGGAAUUUAGCACAUAUGCCGACAUCUCGCUCCAUAGCUGAAUUCUCAUGUGGUGAAAUGAAUAAAUUGCACGUGACAUUCAGGAUUUAAGCGUUUUGUGUGAAGACCUUUGGUUUCUUAUUUUAGAGUAUCGUAAGAAUGUAUCUUAAUGAACAACUUAAAUCAACUCAACUUGCGCAAAUAAUGAAGAUAAGUCCUGAAAUAAUUAUGUUGUGUUGUCAUGAUCUUAAAAAUGGUUGGUUAUAUACUUAUUUCCAUCCGAAUCAAACCACUGUGUUCAGCCCUGAACUUGAAGAAUCGCUUGGACAGUAAGAAAGCAACUGAGGUCGCACUUUUUCACAGUCAAAAAGCACACAACUUUCCAUCCGACAUUUGCGGCAGGAGGUCUGUGGCAGGAGUGUGUUUGUGAGUGAGUAAGCAAGUAAGUGUGUGUGUGUGUUUUCAGCUUCCUCAUAUAAUAACAUUGUCAAAACAUAGUCUCAUAUCUCAAGACACCACUUUAUUUUGAAUUUACGUCCAAAUCAAAUAUGCCCUGUAAAACUAUAAAACUUCCAAAAAGUUAUACUAAGAUUAUAAAUAAGCACAACUCAAAUUUUCAAGUUUUCAUCAGUAAUUUUAUUUUUGACUAUUCACAACUCAUCAAGUUAACACUGUUAUCUUUGUAAAAAGAGUUUUGCUAACUUGAAUGAUCAAGUUUGGUGCAAAACUUGCAUUUCUGAGACAGCAGAACUUAAAAGUUGUCCUAACUUGAAGACUCAGGUUAAAAUCCUGCUUGGAUUAACUUUAUAAACUGUAUAUGCUUACACUUAAAUCCGAAGUCCAGAUAUGAGUUCUGCUUACUUAACAUAAGGGCACAUUACUUAAAAUGUUGAGCUCAGCUUUCUUAUUUUUUUUUGUUUUGGCAGUAACUUGGAUUUUCAAGUUUCAAGCAAAUGCAAGUGAAAUAGGUUGACUAGAAAUUUCAAGUUCUGCUUUGUUAUUUUUUACAGUGUCUGUAAGAUUUUAGCUAUCAAAUUCACUUUGCUUAACUAAAAGAAGCAGCGAUUUUUCAUCUGAAUGCAACAAAUGUGAACUGAAUGAAAAGUCACCAGACCACAACAACAGUGACAACAACGAUGGAGGAGGCCAGCAGAGCCCCGAGUACGAUGCCAACCGCUUUCAGAUCUUGACCUGGCAUAGAAAAACACAUACAUACAUAUAAAAAAAUAAAAAAUAAGUAGGGUUCUCGCUCAUUUAUUACACGCCAAGACAAUUGACUAAUGUUCUACACUAUUUCUUUGUUUGGUUUUUAGGUCAUACUGUGUCUUCAAGUAAGAGACAAAUUUAAGACAAGAUGGUAAUCAGACCACAACAGGAAGUAACAAGAACCUAACGACAUGAAAGAAGAAAGGAAGGAACUUGACCUGAAAAAUUGCACGUUGUUGUCCUCCAUUAAGUUGUGCUCUUUAGGUUAUAAUUACCUGAAAAACUUUUAGUAUGUGAUGCUAACAUAUUUAGCCUGUUACUUUCUGUUAUUGUUAUUACUGUGUUACACAUAUUUGUUCAUGCUUCUUUUUUUUCUUCUUUGUGCAUUUUUUUGGCUUGUGCGAUUUAUACUCAG